GCCCCAGUAGCUCAACAUGGAGAGAGCGUCCGAGUCCUAAUCGGCAGGUUAGGGGUCCGAGUCCCCUCUGGGGCU
rnacentral:tRNA from 1 species